rnacentral:rRNA from 1 species
CCUACGGGCGGCAGCAGUGGGGAAUAUUGCACAAUGGGCGCAAGCCUGAUGCAGCCAUGCCGCGUGUGUGAAGAAGGCCUUCGGGUUGUAAAGCACUUUCAGCGGGGAGGAAGGCGUUAAGGUUAAUAACCUUGGCGAUUGACGUUACCCGCAGAAGAAGCACCGGCUAACUCCGUGCCAGCAGCCGCGGUAAUACGGAGGGUGCAAGCGUUAAUCGGAAUUACUGGGCGUAAAGCGCACGCAGGCGGUCUGUCAAGUCGGAUGUGAAAUCCCCGGGCUCAACCUGGGAACUGCAUUCGAAACUGGCAGGCUAGAGUCUUGUAGGGGGGGGUAGAAUUCCAGGUGUAGCGGUGAAAUGCGUAGAGAUCUGGAGGAAUACCGGUGGCGAAGGCGACCCCCUGGACAAAGACUGACGCUCAGGUGCGAAAGCGUGGGGAGCAAACAGGAUUAGAUACCCCAGUAGUC